rnacentral:piRNA from 1 species
UGGGUACUUGGCACCCCAAUUUUCCCAGGUC